GAUGAACGCUGGCGGCGUGCCUAAUACAUGCAAGUCGAGCGAACAGACGAGGAGCUUGCUCCUCUGACGUUAGCGGCGGACGGGUGAGUAACACGUGGAUCACCUCCCUAUCAGACUGGGAUAACUUCGGGAAACCGGAGCUAAUCCCGGAUAAUAUCUUGCACCGCAUGGUUCAAUAGUGAAAGACGGUUUUGCUGUCACUUAUAGAUGGAUCCGCGCGGCAUUAGCUAGUUGGUAAGGUAACGGCAUAGCAAGGCAAGGAUGCGUAGCCGACCUGUGGGGGGGAUCGGCCACAUGGGAACGGAGACACGGACCAGAGUCCUACGGGAGGCAGCAGUAGGGAAUCGUCCGCAGUGGGCGAAAGCCUGACGGAGCAACGCCGCGUGAGUGAUGAAGGUGUUCGGAUCGUAAAACUCUGUUAUGAGGGAAGAACAAAUGUGUAAGUAACUAUGCACGUCUUGACGGUACUUAAUAAGAAAGCCACGGCUAACUACGUG
rnacentral:rRNA from 1 species